UACGUAGGUGGCAAGCGUUGUCCGGAAUUAUUGGGCGUAAAGCGCGCGCAGGUGGUCCUUUAAGUCUGAUGUGAAAGCCCACGGCUCAACCGUGGAGGGCCAUUGGAAACUGGGGGACUUGAGUGCAGAAGAGGAUAGUGGAAUUCCAAGUGUAGCGGUGAAAUGCGUAGAGAUUUGGAGGAACACCAGUGGCGAAGGCGACUGUCUGGUCUGUAACUGACACUGAGGCGCGAAAGCGUGGGGAGCAAACAGG
rnacentral:rRNA from 1 species